GAUGAAGAACGUAGCGAAAUGCGAUAAGUAAUGCGAAUUGCAGAAUCCGUGAGUCAUCGAAUCUUUGAACGCACAUUGCGCCCGCCAGUAUUCUGGCGGGCAUGCCUGUUCGAGCGUCAUUACAACCCUCAGGCCCCCGGGCCUGGCGUUGGGGAUCGGCGGAGCCCCCCGUGGGCACACGCCGUCCCCCAAAUGCAGUGGCGGUCCCGCCGCAGCUUCCAUCGCGUAGUAGCUAACACCUCGCGACUGGAGAGCGGCGCGGCCACGCCGUAAAACACCCAACUCUUCUGAAGUUGACCUCGAAUCAGGUAGGAAUACACGCUGAACUUAAGCAUAUCAAUAAGCGGAGGA
rnacentral:misc_RNA from 1 species